CACAUUCAGUGGAUUGGGUCGCGUUAUUGGCCGCGGCAAAAAGGCAACAUAUAGUUGGGGAAGAGUCCUCUGUCAUUUCCUGCAAAGACUCACCCAUGCUACGUCUUCCAAAGGAGGAAACCAAAUAGUGAGCGUUUUGCAGCGACGUGGCCACCCCUGUAAUUCAAUCAACUCUCACAACAUUGAGGUGAGGGAAACUAUGGGAGAGAAGAGAAAGCAGAUCAGAAGGAUGGAUCCGGAGACAGUUUGAUUUUUUCUAUUAGCCCUCUCUUUUUUUGUAUUUUGUACUAAGACUACGUUGACUUGUCCAGCAAUUGCCAUCUCGGAUUGCUAGCUAUCGUCGUCAGCGUCAUUUUGGUGGCUAUUGUUGAGCAGUUUUAAGAGAACCCAAGUCUCGGUGAUGUGAUAACUUUAGUAUUUUUGGCAAUUGAUCUAAGAAAAUAGAUGUCG
rnacentral:sRNA from 1 species